UAAUACGUAGGUGGCGAGCGUUAUCCGGAUUUACUGGGCGUAAAGUGGGUGCAGACGGUUUUUCAAGUCGGAUGUAAAAUCUCUCAGCUCAACUGAGAGGGACCAUUCGAUACUGUUAAACUAGAGGACAACAGGAGGAGGUAGAAUUCCCGGUGUAGUGGUGGAAUGCGUAGAUAUCGGGAGGAAUACCAGUGGCGAAGGCGGCCUCCUAGGUUGUUUCUGACGUUCAUGCCCGAAGGUGUGGGGAGCAAACAGGAUUAGAUACCCUGGUAGUCCACACUGUAAACGAUGGACACUAGGUAUAGGGAGUAUCGACCCUCUCUGUGCCAAAGCUAACGCGUUAAGUGUCCCGUCUGGGGAGUACGGCCGCAAGGCUA
rnacentral:rRNA from 1 species